ACAUAAGACAAUUCAUGCUGGAGAGAAACCCUACAAAUGUGAAGGAUGUGGCAAAGCUUUCUGCCAAUUCUCAUACCUUACUAAACAUAAGAUAAUUCAUACUGGAGAGAAACCCUACAAAUGUGAGGAAUGUGGCAAAGCUUUUAAUUGGUACUCACACCUUACCAGACAUAAGAUAAUUCAUACUGGAGAGAAACCCUACAAAUGUGAAUAAUGUGGCAAAGCCUUUAAUGUAUUCGCAACCCUUACUAGACAUAAGAUAAUUCAUACUGAAGAGAAACCCUACAAAUGUGAGGAAUGUGGCAAAGCUUUUAAACAGUCCUCAAACCUUACUACUCAUGAAAAUUCAUUCUGGAGAGAAACCCUACAAAUGUGGAGAAUGUGGCAAAGCUUUCUUCAGAUUCUCAUACCUUACUACACAUAAGAUAAUUCAUACUGGAGAGAAACCCUACAAAUGUGAAGAAUGUGGCAAAGCUUUUAACUGUUACUCCUACCUUACUGCACAUAAGUUGAUUCAUACUGGAGAGAAACCCUACAAAUGUGAAGAAUGUGGCAAAGCUUUCUACCGAUUCAUUUACCUUACUACACAUAAGAGAAUUCACACUGGAGAGAAACCCUACAAAUGUGAAGAAUGUGGCAAAGCUUUCUACCGAUUAUCUUAUCUUACUACACAUAAGAUGAUUCAUACUGUAGAGAAACGCUACAAAUGUGAGGAAUGUGGCAAAGCUUUUAACUGGUACUCACGCCUUACUACACAUAAGAGAAUUCAUACUGGUGAGAAACCCUACAAAUGUGAAGAAUGUGGCAAAGCCUUUAGUGUAUUCUCAACCCUUACUAAACAUAAGAUAAUUCAUACUGGAGAGAGACCCUACAAGUGUGAAGAAUGUGGCAAAGCCUUUAAUGUAUUCUCAACCCUUACUAAACAUAAGAGAAUUCAUAAUGGAGAGAAACCCUACAAAUGUUUAGAAUGUGGCAAAGAUUUCUACCAAUUCUCAUACCUUACUACACAUAAGAUGAUUCAUACUGGAGAGAGACCCUACAAACAUGAAGAAAGUGGCAAAGCUUUUAACUGUUCCUCACAAAUUACUAGACAUAAGAUAAUUCAUACUGGAGAGAAACCCUACAAAUGUGAAGAAUGUGGCAAAGCUUUUUAAAAAUCCUCAAACCUUACUAAUCAUAAGAUAACUCAUACUGGAGAGAAACCCUACAAAUGUGAAGAAUGUGGAAAAGCUUUUAACCAGUCCUCAACUCUUACUAGACAUAAGAGAGUUCAUACUGGAGAGAAACCCUACAAAUGUGAAGAAUGUGGCAAAGCUUAUAACUGGUCCUCAAACCUUACUAAACAUAAGAAAAUUCAUACUGGAGAGACACCCUACAAAUGUGAAGAAUGUGGCAAAGCUUUUAACCAAUCUUCAACCCUUACUAUACAUAAGAUAAUUCAUAUUGGAGAAUAACACUACAAAUGUAAAAAAUGUGGCAAACCUUAUAACCAGUACUCAUACUUUACUACACAUAGGAGAAUUCAUGCGGAAGAGAAUUUCUACAAAUGUGAAGAAUGUGGCAAAGGCUUUGACUGGUCCUCUACCCUUACUAAAGAUAAAAGAGUUUGACUGGGUGCGGUGGCUCAUGCCUGUAAUCCCAGCACUUUGGGAGGCUGAGGCAGGCAGAUCACCUGGUCAAUGGUCCUCUACCCUUACUAAAGAUAAAAGAGUUUGACUGGGUGCGGUGGCUCAUGCCUGUAAUCCCAGCACUUUGGGAGGCUGAGGCAGGCAGAUCACCUGGUCAAGAGUUCAAGACCAGCCUGGCCCAUAUGGUGAAACCCCAUCUCUACUAAAAAUAUAAAAAAUUAGCCAGGUGUAGUGGUGCACACCUGUAGUCCCAGCUACUCUGGAGGCCUAGGUGGGAGAAUCGCUUGAACCCAGGAGGUGGAGGUUGCAGUGAGCUGAGAUGGCUCCACUGCACUCCAGCCUGGAUGACAGAGAGAGACUCUAUCUCCAAAAAAAUAAAUAAAUAAAUAAAAAAAAUAAGAGAGUUCAUACUAGAGAGAAACCCUGCAAAUGUGAAGAAUGUGAGAAAGCUCUUAACCAGUCCUCACACCUUACUGCACAUAAGAGAAAUCAUACUGGAAGGAAACCCUACAAAUGUAAAGAAUGUGAGAAAGCUUUUAACUGGUACUCAUGCCUUACUGCACAUAAGAUAAUUCAUACUGGAGAGAAACUCUACAAAUGUCAAGAAUGUGGCAAAGCUUUUAACCGGUACUCAACCCUUACUACACAUAAGGUAAUUCAUGCUGGAGAGAUACCCUACAAAUGUGAAGAAUGUGGCAAAGGUUUUUAUUGAUUCUCAUACUUUACUAAAAAUAAGGUGAUUCAUUCUGGAGAGAAAUUCUACAAAUGUGAAGAAUGUGGCAAAGGCUUUAAUUUGUCCUCAACACUUACUAAACAGAAUUCAUAGCAGAGAGAAAUCCUACAAAUAUGAAGAAUGUCACAAAGCUUUUAACCACUUCUCAACCCUGAUGACACAUAAGGUAAUUCGUGCUGGAGAGAAACCCUACAAAUAUGAAGAAUAUCUCAAAACUUUUUAUAGAUUCUCAUACCUUAUUAAACAUAAAAUCUUACAGGAGAGAAAUUAUACAAAUGUGAAGAAUGUGGCAAAGCUUUUAAGAAAUCCUCAUCCAUUACUAAACAAGAUAAUUUGUACUGGAGAGAAAACCUACAAACGUGAGGAAUGUGGCAAAGCCUUUAAUGGUCCCCUCAACUUUCUGCACAUAAGAUAAUUUAUACUGUGGAGAAGCCUUACAAAUGUGAAAAAUGUAGCAAACCUUUUAACUAAUCCUCAACCCUUACUACACAUAAGAUAAUUAAUGCUGGAGGGAAAUCCCACCCAUGUGGCAAAGCUUUUAAUCAAUCCUCAAACCUUACUAAACAUAAGAUAACUCAUACUGGAGAAAAAUCUUAGAAAUGUGAAGGAUGUGGUAAAGCCGUUAUCCAGUCCUCAACUCCCACUAAACAUAACAUAAUUCAUACUGGAGAGAAACCUCACAACUGUGAAGAAUGUGGCAAAGCUUUUAACCAGUCCUACAAACCUUUUUGAACAAAAUAAUUCAUACAGGAGAGAAACACUACAAAUGUGAGGAAUGUGACAAAGCCUUUAACCAGUCCUCAAUUCUUACCAAACAUAAGAAAAUUCAUAUUGGAGAUUAACCUUAUGAGUGUGAAAAAUAUGGCAAAAGCUUUAACUAGUUCUCAGUUAUUAUUAUUAUUUUUAGAGAUGGAGUUUCACUCUUGUUGCCAAGGCUGCAAUACUGUGGCAUGAUUUCAGCUCACUGCAACCUCCGUCUCCCAGGUUUAAGCAAUUCUGCCUCAGCCUCCCGAGUAGCUGGGAUUACAGGCAUGCACCACUAUACCCAUCUAAUUUUGUAUGUUUAGCAGAGAUGGGGUUUCUCCAUGUAGAUCAGGCUGGUCUUGAACUCCUGACCUUGUAAUCUGCCCACCUCAGCCUCCCAAAGUGCUGGGAUUACAGGCAUGAGCCACCACGCUCAGCCACUAGUCCUCAGAUCUUAACACACAUAAGAUAAUUCAUACUGGAAAGAAACUCCACAAACCAGAAAGAUGCAAUAAUGCUUUUGACAACACCUCAAGCUUUUCUAACCAUAAAAAGAAUCAUAUUGGUGAGAAAUCCUAGAAAUGUGAAGAAUGUGACAAAGUCUUUAAAUGGUUGUCAUACUUGACUUUUUUCUUUUUUUGAGAUGAAGUCUCACUCUUGUCCCCCAGGCUGGUGUGCAAUGGCAUGAUGUCGGCUCACUGCAAACUCCGCCUCCCAGGUUCAAGUGAUUCUCCUACCUCAGCCUCCCAAGUAGCUGGGAUUACAGGCACCUGCCACCACGCCUGGCUAAUUUUUGUACUUUUAGUAGAGAUGGGGUAUGACCAUCUUGGCCAGGCUGGUCUCAAACUCCUGACCUCAGGUGAUCCGCCCACCUCGGGCCUCCCAAAGUGCUGGGAUUACAGGCAUGAGCCACCACUCCCUGCCUUACUUGAUUACAUUCAAUAUAAUUCAUACUGGAAAGAAAUCCUACAAGUGAGAGCAAUGUGGCAAAACUUAACCACCUUAUUGCACAGAAAAGCAUUUAUGUUUGAGAAAAAUUAUACAAAUACAGACUGUGAAAAAGACAUUAAUAUCUGCUUACAUCUUAACACCAGAGAGUUCAUACUUAAUAAAAGCAAGAUAAGGGCAAUUACUGUCAAAAGGUCUUUCAGAAAAAUAUAACCCUUUAAAGUGAAGAAGAGAAUUUAUAUUGAAGAUGGACAUUACAAACAUAAAGAGGGUUGUAGUACCUUUACUUGAAUCAAAUUUUAUUGUACACAUUUUGUACUAGAGGAAAACUCUGAAGCAGUUGCUCAAGCUUUGUUCAACAUUAGGGCACUUAUAUUGGAAAAGUGUCUUGCAGAUAUAAUAAAUGUGGAAAAACACUUUUUCAAAAACUACAUCAGAAAACACCAGAGUUUAUACUGAAGAAUAUUUUUGAAGAUGCACUAAAAAUGAAAAAAUAUUUAAUCCAAAUUAGGGCUAUGUAAAUAUCAGAAUUUAUAAUAGAAAUAUAUAAGGAACUGACACUGCAGAUAUACUAAGUCAAGAGUUCUGAGUAUAGAAAAUAAUCUAAAACUAAAGUUGAUAGAAAAAGUAUUUGUAUAUAAAUUUAAGAGGAGUAAAAGAUUUUUUGCAGAGUAAUAACUACAUUCUAAGUAUACUUUAUUUCUUGAAAAAAUUACAGACUUUGAAAGCAAAUGAUGUAAUUCAACACUCAUUUUCUGGUGUUUCUUCAUUCUUAUUCACUUGUGAAAGCAUGUGAUAAUUGUUGCAUCAAAGGUAUGAGAGAUUCUUUUCCAUUAGGUGGGCAUUUAUGAUCUUUUCUAUGGACAAGUAAGGACAUUAGAAUGUAAGAUGCAUGAUGAAAAAGUGGAGAGGUUCUUUGUGGUUAACUUAUACUCUUGAGUGAUAUAUGAGGUAGGUGUUAAGAGUAUUGUUCUUUUGCAUUAUGAGAAAACUAGUAGUAUAUUAUUAGUAUAUUAUUGUACUAAUUGUACUUUUAUAUAAUAAAAUGCAGCACAUUUUUAAAAUUUU
rnacentral:lncRNA from 1 species